AACUUUCUUACACCGAAUGCUUGCAUUCACCGUAAGAAGUUGAGUGGCGGACGGGUGAGUAACACGUGGGUAACCUGCCUAAAAGAGGGGGAUAACACUUGGAAACAGGUGCUAAUACCGUAUAUCUCUAAGGAUCGCAUGAUUCUUAGAUGAAAGAUGGUUCUGCUAUCGCUUUUAGAUGGACCCGCGGCGUAUUAACUAGUUGGUGGGGUAACGGCCUACCAAGGUGAUGAUACGUAGCCGAACUGAGAGGUUGAUCGGCCACAUUGGGACUGAGACACGGCCCAAACUCCUACGGGAGGCAGCAGUAGGGAAUCUUCCACAAUGGACGCAAGUCUGAUGGAGCAACGCCGCGUGAGUGAAGAAGGUCUUCGGAUCGUAAAACUCUGUUGUUAGAGAAGAACACGAGUGAGAGUAACUGUUCAUUCGAUGACGGUAUCUAACCAGCAAGUCACGGCUAACUACGUGCCAGCAGCCGCGGUAAUACGUAGGUGGCAAGCGUUGUCCGGAUUUAUUGGGCGUAAAGGGAACGCAGGCGGUCUUUUAAGUCUGAUGUGAAAGCCUUCGGCUUAACCGGAGUAGUGCAUUGGAAACUGGAAGACUUGAGUGCAGAAGAGGAGAGUGGAACUCCAUGUGUAGCGGUGAAAUGCGUAGAUAUAUGGAAGAACACCAGUGGCGAAAGCGGCUCUCUGGUCUGUA
rnacentral:rRNA from 1 species